rnacentral:tRNA from 1 species
GCCUCGCUAGCUCAAUUGGCAGAGCAGGGGCCUCUUAAGCCCAAGGUUGGAGGUUCGAGCCCUCCGCGAGGCAC